rnacentral:rRNA from 1 species
GUGGUGGAUGGGUGGCGUCAGCUCCGGGCCGGGGAUGGUGGGUUAAGUCCCGCAACGAACGCAACCCUUGUUCCAUGUUGCCCGCGUUAUGCCGGGGACUCAUGGGAAACUGCCGGGGUCAACUCGGAAGAAGGUGGGGAUGACGUCAAGUCAUCAUGCCCCUUAUGUCCAGGGCUUCACACAUGCUACAAUGGCCGGUACAAAGGGCUGCGAAUCCGUGAGGUGGAGCGAAUCCCACAAAGCCGGUCUCAGUUCGGAUCGGGGUCUGCAACUCGACCCCGUGAAGUCGGA